rnacentral:rRNA from 1 species
ACGCGUACCGUACGAACGUUAUUCGGAAUCACUGGGCUUAAAGAGUCCGUAGGCGGCUUGGUAGGUGAGGUGUGAAAUCCCACGGCUCAACCGUGGAACUGCGCCCCAAACCACUAGGCUAGAGGGAGACAGAGGUAAGCGGAACUGAUGGUGGAGCGGUGAAAUGCGUUGAUAUCAUCAGGAACACCAGUGGCGAAAGCGGCUUACUGGGUCUCUUCUGACGCUGAGGCACGAAAGCUAGGGUAGCGAACGGGAUUAGAAACCCCAGUAGUCC